rnacentral:misc_RNA from 1 species
AGCAGCCGCGGUAAUUCCAGCUCCAAUAGCGUAUAUUAAAGUUGUUGCAGUUAAAAAGCUCGUAGUUGAAUUUCGGGGUUAGUAGGUUGGUCAUGCCUCUGGUAUGUACUGGUCUCACUGAUUCCUCCUUCCUGAUGAGCCGUAAUGCCAUUAAUUUGGUGUUGCGGGGAAUUUGGACUGUUACUUUGAAAAAAUUAGAGUGUUUAAAGCAAGCUAACGCUUGAAUACAUUAGCAUGGAAUAAUGAAAUAGGACGUUCGAUCCUAUUUUGUUGGUUUCUAGGAUUGACGUAAUGAUUAAUAGGGAUAGUUGGGGGCAUUAGUAUUCAAUUGUCAGAGGUGAAAUUCUUGGAUUUAUUGAAGACUAACUACUGCGAAAGCAUUUGCCAAGGAUGUUUUCAUUAAUCAAGAACGAAAGUUAGGGGAUCGAAGACGAUCAGAUACCGUCGUAGUCUUAACCAUAAACUA